GGGGUUGUGGCUCAGAGGUAGAGCGCUCGCCUAGCACGCAAGAGGCACUGGUUCCAUCCUCAGCACCA
rnacentral:tRNA from 1 species